rnacentral:rRNA from 1 species
GACGAACGCUGGCGGCGUGCUUAACACAUGCAAGUCGAACGGAAAGGCCCUGCUUUUGUGGGGUGCUCGAGUGGCGAACGGGUGAGUAACACGUGAGUAACCUGCCCUUGACUUUGGGAUAACUUCAGGAAACUGGGGCUAAUACCGGAUAGGAGCUCCUGCUGCAUGGUGGGGGUUGGAAAGUUUCGGCGGUUGGGGAUGGACUCGCGGCUUAUCAGCUUGUUGGUGGGGUAGUGGCUUACCAAGGCUUUGACGGGUAGCCGGCCUGAGAGGGUGACCGGCCACAAGGGAAGUGAGAGACGGGCCAGACGCCUACGGGAGGCAGCAGGAGGGAAUCGGCCGCAAGGGGCGAAAGCCUGACGGAGCAACGGCGCGUGAGGGAUGAAGGCCGUCGGAGCGGAAGACGCUGUGAUUAGGGAAGAAAAAAUGUGUAAGUAACUAUGCACGUCUGGACGGUACCUAAUCAGAAAGCCACGGCUAACUACGUG